UCUAGAUUAAAUAUAUCCAGUUUUCAAAAUCUUCCUUUGCCAGUAGAACACAAGCCUGCAGGUUUUAUCUUAUCCCAGUUGCCAAGUUUAUUUUUGUCACAUCUCAGGUAAGUGUAUUGGUAGUAUAGAUUAGCAGAUGACCAAAUACGUAAUGUCUACUUUUACCAUUAUUAGACAGAACAGUAAUGUUAACAGGGAAGGCUGACAUGCAAGCUGUUAUAGAAGGCUAGGUUGGUGUAUGGCGUGUUGUGAUUGUGGCUACAAGUGUGUGUGAUAUGUAGAACAGUGGGAAUUUGAACAUGGAUUGGUGAUUCAUAGAGAGUUUUUUAUGAAUUCUUGCUCUAUGUUUAAAUUCCUAUUAUAGCCUUAAAUUAAAGUUUUUGGAUA